AGUGAUUCCAGUUCCUAUGGUUUCAUUUUAAUGUGUAGAUUUUUACUGUAUAUUUCAUUCAUCUGUUUGGUGUGAUGUUGAUUUUGGCUAUACUAUGUAUGUAUUGUGUUGAUGCGAGUAGACGAGCAAGCCACUGUGGAAACUGAGGUUCAACAAGUAGAGAUAGCUGAGCAGGAGCUCAUUGAAGGCAAGUUGUGCCCUUGAUCACUUACUUUCCCAGCCAUGUUCUUAUUAAUUUUAAUGAUCUGCAUAGGAUAAUUUUGAUGGGAGCCUUUAUGUUACCCCAGUUUUGAUUACCUCUAUACCUUGUUCACCCCUGAAAUAUUUUUGGGUAGUACUUGCUAUUGCUUUAUGUGGAUUGGGUAUGGAGAUACACUAUUCAUGAUUAUUCUGUUAUUAACUUGUUAUUAUUAUUGUUCAUGUUAAGAUCAUUAAAUUAAUGGGAACAUGGAGCGACCACCCGGGAAAACAGUGCUACCACAAGGGUAUAAUGGGACGCCCUUGGCUGACUAAUUAGGAAAGCUAGUGGAAGACUACCUUACCCGAAAGGGGCAAGGGCAGUAGGGGAGAGGUCAGUGCGGGGAGGUCCCUGGUUGAUUUUGCUGCGAUGGCUGUCAGCCAGGAACCCUGUACUGGAUCUUCCUAUAAACUGUAGCGGGUUUUCGGAAGCUAGUGGAACUUUGUAAAGGCCUCGUAGUGGAUCCCUAGCCAUUCACCUCGGUAGUGUCUAAGGGCCUUGCAAACCCAGGCAACAUGGGAUACAUGACUUGUGGGUAAAGAUGCGCAACCUCUGCAGAGUGUAAAACUAGUAUACUAGCCGUGCUCACGGUCAAGAGCGGCUCGGACCCUCACAUGAUUAAUUAUGGAACUUAAAUUCAAUUUGACAUUUGCAUCGCAUUUGGGAUUAUUUUACUAUUACUGUUCUUUAUUAUUAUUAAGGUUUGGUAUUUACUUACACUUAGUAAUUGCUAAUAAAAUUUUGACCAACUUAUAAAAGCAAUGCUCAGCCUCAGCCUCUAUUUCAUUGAUCAGCCUUACACUACAUGAACUCCCACCUUUGGUGAGUUCAUGCCACAUUAUUCCCCACGACUUGUUGAGCUAUGAACGUAUGUGAGCUCACUCUUGCUGUCUCACACCCCCCCCCCCACAGGAGAAGAACAGAUGGUUCAGGAGGAGCCACAAGGCGAGGAGUUUGAUCUGAUCUAGGUGGCGUUUCUCAGUCGACAUCGGCGCCAACGAUCCUUAGUUCGUUUUACAUUUAUUUUGUAAUAAGUCUUCCGCUAUGUAAUAAAUACUCUGAUGUUUUGUGACAUUUAUCUCUAUACACUCUGUUAUUAUAUAUGUUGUCUUCUUUGGC
rnacentral:lncRNA from 7 species